rnacentral:rRNA from 1 species
CCUACGGGGGGCUGCAGUGGGGAAUAUUGGACAAUGGGCGAAAGCCUGAUCCAGCCAUGCCGCGUGUGUGAAGAAGGCCUUCGGGUUGUAAAGCACUUUCAGUGGGGAAGAAAGCCUUGGGGCUAAUACCCUCGAGGUAGGACAUCACCCACAGAAGAAGCACCGGCUAACUCCGUGCCAGCAGCCGCGGUAAUACGGAGGGUGCGAGCGUUAAUCGGAAUUACUGGGCGUAAAGCGCGCGUAGGCGGUCUGAUAAGCCGGUUGUGAAAGCCCCGGGCUCAACCUGGGAACGGCAUCCGGAACUGUCAGGCUAGAGUGCAGGAGAGGAAGGUAGAAUUCCCGGGGUAGCGGUGAAAUGCGUAGAGAUCGGGAGGAAUACCAGUGGCGAAGGCGGCCUUCUGGACUGACACUGACGCUGAGGUGCGAAAGCGUGGGUAGCAAACAGGAUUAGAUACCCUAGUAGUC